GGGAUCGUGGGUUAGCUUGGCUAUACUCGCAGCCUUGGGUGCUGUGGACCCCGGUUCGAAUCCGGGCGAUCCCA
rnacentral:tRNA from 3 species